AGAGUCUCUCUGUCUCUCUCUUUUCCUUCUGUUUUCCUAUUGCUUUCUUCUUUCGUUUGGAAGGUUAGAUAUGGUUUCAAAGUCUACUACAACAAACAACUCGAGACAAGUUCAUUUCACUAUGUUGGGAGAUGGGAUUGCUUUAAUUUGUCUUGUUUACCUCAUUUUGAGGAGGGAAUGUUUGCUUUUGUAGUGUUUCCUCCCUUGGAUUCUACGACAUUUUUUAUGUAUUUUCUUUUCUUUUCCAUAGCUUCUUUGUCUUUCUCUGGCUCUCAAGUUGUUAUUUUCUUUUUCUUUCUUCUGUUUUUUAACAACUUUCGGCACUUUCUUUUUUAUAAUUAGAAAACACCAUGGUGCAUUCUAUUCUUUACACAAACAUACAAGGCAAGAAUUACAUCUACUUGUAGAUAUAUAGCACACUUAAGAAAAUGCAGACACAGGCACAACAUUAGGCUGUUAUUAGUCUUCCUAUGAUGUUUAUACUUAUCUUUCAUCAAUGGGCAGGCAGCCGAAAGACUCCAUUUUUUUCAACGGUACAGAUUUUGACAACUGUUAGUCCAACUCCAUAUCUCGCUUUUAUUUCAAAACUUACAAUUAUGUUGUUCUAUUUAUAGCUACGGUGAUCCAUAAAUGUUCACUUCCCUUGCUCUCCCCUGCAGCCAUGAGUUUCCUCCUCUCCUGUUAAAUUAUCUCUAUAGAGCAUAUUUUACAUUUUAUAGAAUUUUUCAUUUUGAACAUUUAGAUGUUUGAUUCAGUUGCCUCAUCUCUCCAUUUUUUGCACUCUUUAGAAAAGUUUCAUAGUUAUGGAAAGACUGAACUCAAAGCUGUACCUACAAAACUGCUAUAUCAUGAAGGAGAAUGAGAGGUUAAGGAAGAAAGCUCAGCUUCUCAACCAGGAGAAUCAAGCACUACUAUCUGAAUUGAAACAGAAAGUGGGGAAGGGAGAUUCAUCUAAAGGAAAUGCUCCAAAUAAUAUUCCUGACCUCAACCUCUGCUCAAGCUCCAACACAAAUCCUGCCAAUUCUAGCAAACCCUGAUUCUAUAAAUAUAUAUCAUGACCCCACUUAUGACCCCACUGAAGAAUCCCCCAGCUUUCUUUUUGUGUAAAACCAUAGUCAAACAGUAGUACAGUUCUAGUUUCAGUUACAUAGGACAGGGUUACUUUUGCUUAUAUCUUCAGCUUCAAUAUAUAUCUUUUCUGGGGCUUUAAGAAAUGGAUUUCUGAACUACAAAGAUGUAUCAGGCUAUCUGCUAGAGAUAAAUAUGAUAUUAUUAUUAUCA